rnacentral:rRNA from 1 species
UGGAUCAUGUUGUUUAAUUCGAUGAUACGCGAAGAAACCCUUACCAGGGUCUUGACAUCCCCCGCGAUGCUUUAGAGAUAAAGCGGAGGUAUUCGGGGAGACAGGUGGUGCAUGGUUGUCGUCAGCUCGUGUCGUGAGAUGUUGGGUUAAGUCCCGCAACGAGCGCAACCCCUAUUGCUAGUUACCAUCAUUAAGUUGGGGACUCUAGCGAGACUGCCAGUGAUAAACUGGAGGAAGGUGGGGAUGACGUCAAAUCAUCAUGCCCCUUAUGACCUGGGCUACAAACGUGAUACAAUGGCUGGAACAAAGGGAUGCGAAGCAGUGAUGUGGAGCGAAACCCAUAAAAACAGUCUCAGUUCGGAUUGAAGUCUGCAACUCGACUUCAUGAAGUCGGAAUCGCUAGUAAUCGCGGAUCAGAACGCCGCGGUGAAUACGUUCUCGGGGUUU